rnacentral:rRNA from 1 species
GGGUUGUGAGGUUAAGCGACUAAGCGUACACGGUGGAUGCCCUGGCAGUCAGAGGCGAUGAAGGACGUGCUAAUCUGCGAAAAGCGUCGGUAAGGUGAUAUGAACCGUUAUAACCGGCGAUGUCCGAAUGGGGAAACCCAGUGUGUUUCGACACACUAUCAUUAACUGAAUCCAUAGGUUAAUGAGGCGAACCGGGGGAACUGAAACAUCUAAGUACCCCGAGGAAAAGAAAUCAACCGAGAUUCCCCCAGUAGCGGCGAGCGAACGGGGAGGAGCCCAGAGCCUGAAUCAGUGUGUGUGUUAGUGGAAGCGUCUGGAAAGGCGUGCGAUACAGGGUGACAGCCCCGUACACAAAAAUGCACAUGCUGUGAGCUCGAUGAGUAGGGCGGGACACGUGGUAUCCUGUCUGAAUAUGGGGGGACCAUCCUCCAAGGCUAAAUACUCCUGACUGACCGAUAGUGAACCAGUACCGUGAGGGAAAGGCGAAAAGAACCCCGGCGAGGGGAGUGAAAAAGAACCUGAAACCGUGUACGUACAAGCAGUGGGAGCCCUGAUUUAUCAGGGUGACUGCGUACCUUUUGUAUAAUGGGUCAGCGACUUAUAUUCUGUAGCAAGGUUAACCGAAUAGGGGAGCCGGAGGGAAACCGAGUCUUAACUGGGCGUUAAGUUGCAGGGUAUAGACCCGAAACCCGGUGAUCUAGCCAUGGGCAGGUUGAAGGUUGGGUAACACUAACUGGAGGACCGAACCGACUAAUGUUGAAAAAUUAGCGGAUGACUUGUGGCUGGGGGUGAAAGGCCAAUCAAACCGGGAGAUAGCUGGUUCUCCCCGAAAGCUAUUUAGGUAGCGCCUCGUGAAUUCAUCUCCGGGGGUAGAGCACUGUUUCGGCAAGGGGGUCAUCCCGACUUACCAACCCGAUGCAAACUGCGAAUACCGGAGAAUGUUAUCACGGGAGACACACGGCGGGUGCUAACGUCCGUCGUGAAGAGGGAAACAACCCAGACCGCCAGCUAAGGUCCCAAAGUCAUGGUUAAGUGGGAAACGAUGUGGGAAGGCCCAGACAGCCAGGAUGUUGGCUUAGAAGCAGCCAUCAUUUAAAGAAAGCGUAAUAGCUCACUGGUCGAGUCGGCCUGCGCGGAAGAUGUAACGGGGCUAAACCAUGCACCGAAGCUGCGGCAGCGACGCUGAUGCGUUGUUGGGUAGGGGAGCGUUCUGUAAGCCUGUGAAGGUGUGCUGUGAGGCAUGCUGGAGGUAUCAGAAGUGCGAAUGCUGACAUAAGUAACGAUAAAGCGGGUGAAAAGCCCGCUCGCCGGAAGACCAAGGGUUCCUGUCCAACGUUAAUCGGGGCAGGGUGAGUCGACCCCUAAGGCGAGGCCGAAAGGCGUAGUCGAUGGGAAACAGGUUAAUAUUCCUGUACUUGGUGUUACUGCGAAGGGGGGACGGAGAAGGCUAUGUUGGCCGGGCGACGGUUGUCCCGGUUUAAGCGUGUAGGCUGGUUUUCCAGGCAAAUCCGGAGAAUCAAGGCUGAGGCGUGAUGACGAGGCACUACGGUGCUGAAGCAACAAAUGCCCUGCUUCCAGGAAAAGCCUCUAAGCAUCAGGUAACAUCAAAUCGUACCCCAAACCGACACAGGUGGUCAGGUAGAGAAUACCAAGGCGCUUGAGAGAACUCGGGUGAAGGAACUAGGCAAAAUGGUGCCGUAACUUCGGGAGAAGGCACGCUGAUAUGUAGGUGAAGCGACUUGCUCGUGGAGCUGAAAUCAGUCGAAGAUACCAGCUGGCUGCAACUGUUUAUUAAAAACACAGCACUGUGCAAACACGAAAGUGGACGUAUACGGUGUGACGCCUGCCCGGUGCCGGAAGGUUAAUUGAUGGGGUCAGCGCAAGCGAAGCUCUUGAUCGAAGCCCCGGUAAACGGCGGCCGUAACUAUAACGGUCCUAAGGUAGCGAAAUUCCUUGUCGGGUAAGUUCCGACCUGCACGAAUGGCGUAAUGAUGGCCAGGCUGUCUCCACCCGAGACUCAGUGAAAUUGAACUCGCUGUGAAGAUGCAGUGUACCCGCGGCAAGACGGAAAGACCCCGUGAACCUUUACUAUAGCUUGACACUGAACACUGGUCCUUGAUGUGUAGGAUAGGUGGGAGGCUUUGAAGUGUGGACGCCAGUCUGCAUGGAGCCGUCCUUGAAAUACCACCCUUUAAUGGCUGGUGUUCUAACGUUGGCCCGUAAUCCGGGUUGCGGACAGUGUCUGGUGGGUAGUUUGACUGGGGCGGUCUCCUCCUAAAGAGUAACGGAGGAGCACGAAGGUUGGCUAAUCCUGGUCGGACAUCAGGAGGUUAGUGCAAUGGCAUAAGCCAGCUUGACUGCGAGCGUGACGGCGCGAGCAGGUGCGAAAGCAGGUCAUAGUGAUCCGGUGGUUCUGAAUGGAAGGGCCAUCGCUCAACGGAUAAAAGGUACUCCGGGGAUAACAGGCUGAUACCGCCCAAGAGUUCAUAUCGACGGCGGUGUUUGGCACCUCGAUGUCGGCUCAUCACAUCCUGGGGCUGAAGUAGGUCCCAAGGGUAUGGCUGUUCGCCAUUUAAAGUGGUACGCGAGCUGGGUUUAGAACGUCGUGAGACAGUUCGGUCCCUAUCUGCCGUGGGCGCUGGAGAACUGAGGGGGGCUGCUCCUAGUACGAGAGGACCGGAGUGGACGCAUCACUGGUGUUCGGGUUGUCAUGCCAAUGGCACUGCCCGGUAGCUAAAUGCGGAAGAGAUAAGUGCUGAAAGCAUCUAAGCACGAAACUUGCCCCGAGAUGAGUUCUCCCUGAGACUUUAAGUCUCCUGAAGGAACGUUGAAGACGACGACGUUGAUAGGCCGGGUGUGUAAGCGCAGCGAUGCGUUGAGCUAACCGGUACUAAUGAACCGUGAGGCUUAACCUUACAACGCCGAAG